rnacentral:misc_RNA from 1 species
GAUGAAGAACGUAGCGAAAUGCGAUAAGUAAUGUGAAUUGCAGAACUCAGUGAAUCAUCGAGUCUUUGAACGCACAUUGCGCCCCCUGGUAUUCCGGGGGGCAUGCCUGUCCGAGCGUCAUUGCUGCCCUCAAGCACGGCUUGUGUGUUGGGCCCCCGUCCCCGGUUUCCCCCGGGGACGGGCCCGAAAGGCAGCGGCGGCACCGCGUCCGGUCCUCGAGCGUAUGGGGCUUUGUCACCCGCUCUGUAGGCCCGGCCGGCGCCAGCCGACACCCAACUUUAUUUCUAAGGUUGACCUCGGAUCAGGUAGGGAUACCCGCUGAACUUAAGCAUAUCAAUAAGCGGAGGA